rnacentral:rRNA from 1 species
UGGGGGAUAUUGCACAAUGGGGGGAACCCUGAUGCAGCGACGCCGCGUGGGUGAAGAAGCGCCUCGGCGCGUAAAGCCCUGUCAGCAGGGAAGAAAAUGACGGUACCUGAAGAAGAAGCCCCGG